CCUACUUUCACUGAAAACUGGGUUUACCUAGACAUGGGUGCUUGUACAGUUAAAUGGGGUAAUUAACAUGUAAUUUAGAGACUUGCCAAGUUUGGGAAAUGAUAAUAGUGGGUGCUUGGGGGGAACUAAUUGGGCGCUUUCGCAGCAUUUUACAAAUUCCUCGCAGUAAUGUCUUUCUCAUUUGCUUUGUCGUUCAUAGUCUAAUACACUGUCUUCCACAAAAGGUAUACCGACAGAGAGGAUGACGAUGACGACGAUGGGAGCAGGGACAUUCAAGACAUUGAUGAUGACCAGGAACCAGAGUGCUCUUCUUAUGGACAGACUAUGCAGACAAACCUGCCAUCAGGCUCUUCUGCAGCUCCACCAAGG